UCUAAGAACUUGCGGACUCCUUACCGGAAGUAAACAACAACAGAUUUAUUACAGAUGGCAUUACUCAAGAUGGUAUUGAUAAAUUGAAGCCGCCUAGACCCCUGUUGAGGACUGCCUCUACCAAGUGCUGAUUAAGGGAAAUAUGUGAAAUUCUCGUUUUGUUAUUUCAUUUUAUCUUUUGGUGUGAUAUAUGAAGCCACAACACGUGAAACGAGGGUGGGUGAUGAUUAUUUUUUUUUGUAAUGAAUGGCAAUCUCUCGGAUUGCUUUUCUAGGUUUGUUAUGAUAUAAACUUGUCCUAAGCUAUUUUUUCACCCGUGUUAGUAAUUGUAAUCACAGAAAUUUGUACAUGCUGAAAUAAGUACACGCCAGUGAAUGGAAGAAUACUACAAUGUUAUGUUCUUUCUA